rnacentral:SRP_RNA from 1 species
GCCAGGUGUGGUGGCUCACACCUGUAAUCCCAGCACUUUGGGAGGCUGAGGCAGGUGGAUCACCUGAGGUCGGGAGUUUGAGACCAGCCUGACCAACAUGGAGAAACCCUGUCUCUA